rnacentral:tRNA from 1 species
GCUGGCUUAGCUUAGUAGGUAGAGAAACUGACUCGCUAUCAGUAGGUCACCAGUUAGAUUCCGGUAGCCAGCACCA